rnacentral:sRNA from 1 species
GGUAUUCCUUAUCUGUGUCUAAUACGUUGAAUUGUCAGGAGCCUGUCUCCCUGUACUCUGCUGCCAAAGCACAAGGAGACAGGCCCGUCGUUAAUGUCCGCGCGUUCGUUGCCG